rnacentral:misc_RNA from 1 species
AGGUCCAUCAUGAGGAUGUGUAUACUCCUUAAAAGGCAAACAAUAUGUAAAUUCAGCAUCAUGUCGUGGCAAACGUUUAUCAAACAUAGUAGAUGAAGGCCAGUCUUUCAAUUUCAAUAUCUGAGGCCAAUUUUUUGCAUCAAAUCGACCAUGCAAGUAUCCCAUAAAGAAUUGAUGAACAUUAAUAUCUACCUCACACCAGUCCAAACAGUCAAUGGCCUUCACAUCCAAAAGUGUAUCAUGUUUUUCAUUUCUUAUCUGGCGGAAGGCA